rnacentral:rRNA from 1 species
AGAGAAAGCUUGCUUUUUCUAGGCGUCGACCGGCGCACGGGUGAGUAACGCGUAUCCAACCUGCCCUUGUCCAUCGGAUAACCCGUCGAAAGGCGGCCUAACACGAUAUGCAGUUCUCAGCAGGCAUCUAACGAGAACGAAAUGUGAAGGAGAAGGAUGGGGAUGCGUCUGAUUAGCUUGUUGGCGGGGUAACGGCCCACCAAGGCGACGAUCAGUAGGGGCUCUGAGAGGAAGGUCCCCCACAUUGGAACUGAGACACGGUCCAAACUCCUACGGGAGGCAGCAGUGAGGAAUAUUGGUCAAUGGGCGAGAGCCUGAACCAGCCAAGUAGCGUGCAGGAAGACGGCCCUAUGGGUUGUAAACUGCUUUAUGCGGGGAUAAAGUGAGCCACGUGUGGCUUAUUGCAGGUACCGCAUGAAUAAGGACCGGCUAAUUCCGUGCCAGCAGCCGCGGUAAUACGGAAGGUCCGGGCGUUAUCCGGAUUUAUUGGGUUUAAAGGGAGCGUAGGCCGUCUGGUAAGCGUGUUGUGAAAUGUCGGGGCUCAACCUGGGCAUUGCAGCGCGAACUGUCAGACUUGAGUGCGCGGGAAGUAGGCGGAAUUCGUCGUGUAGCGGUGAAAUGCUUAGAUAUGACGAAGAACUCCGAUUGCGAAGGCAGCCUGCUGUAGCGCAACUGACGCUGAAGCUCGAAAGCGUGGGUAUCGAACAGGAUUAGAUACCCUGGUAGUCCACGCGGUAAACGAUGGAUGCUCGCUGUUUGCGUCUGACGUAAGCGGCCAAGCGAAAGCGUUAAGCAUCC